UUGACCUCAAAUCAGGUAGGACU
rnacentral:ncRNA from 19 species